rnacentral:rRNA from 1 species
CCCUUAGAUGUUCUGGGCCGCACGCGCGUUACAAUGAAUCGUUCAACAGGUUUUCUUCCUGAGUCGAAAGGCUUGGGUAAUCCUUUAAAUACGGUUCGUGCUAGGGAUAGAUUUUUGCAAUUAUUAAUCUUGAACGAGGAAUAUUUAGUAAACGCAGGUCAUCAGCCUGCAUUGAUUACGUCCCUGCCCUUUGUACACACCGCCCGUCGCACCAACCGAUUGGAUGUUUUGUUGAAAUAUGUGGAUGUUUUUUGAGUGGAUUAAUUUUCGCUCGAUAGACAGAAACGUAUUAAAACUGAAUAUAUAGAGGAGGGUGAAGUCGUAACA